rnacentral:tRNA from 1 species
GAGGGUAUAGCUCAGUGGUAGAGCAUAUGCCUAGCAUGCACAAGUUCCUGGGUUCAAUCCCCAAUACCUCCA